CUCUUCCUUUUUGGAGAAAUUCCUGAAGGUGAACUCCAACAGUAACAGUAUUACGAUGAAUUCUAUGUAGCUGAGUCUGUUUUUUCUCGGAUGCAAAAGCCGAAAUAUAACUCUCACCAGCAGAAGUUCAUCACCAAGUUAGGAAAGUAAAUGUUUAUGAUCGAUAUAUGUAGUUGCAAGAACUGUGAUUUUUCAACCGAAAAGAAUACAAGCAUUGGAGAUUCAGAACCAUUGGGCAAACUCGGUAUCUGUUUAACAAAAGGUUCAUGGCGCUAUGGGAUCAAAA